rnacentral:lncRNA from 1 species
UUUCGCACUUUUUUACUUUAGUAUUUGUGUUUAAAAUAUAUUAAUUUAAUAUCCUAUAAUUUUAUUUUUUAUUUUUUUGCCUGCUCCUCUAUUAACAUUUUAUUAAAUUAUAUAUAAAAAACUUUCGAUACCCACCUAAAUUUAUCGAAUAUUUACUUUAAUAUUUUAAAUUAUAGAAUACUAAAAUAAAAAAAAAAAAAGCCAAACCACAUUAGUGGUCUUUGAAAAUUUUUUAGGGAUAACUUAAAAAACGGCCCUGUGGUUUCGCACAUUCUCACUUUAAUACCCUGUGGUUUCAAGUGUAUCAAUUUGCCCCCAUGUGUUUUCGUUUUUUUUUUUUUUUUUUUUUUUUUUUUNNNNNNNNNNAUUAUUUUUUUUUUCUUAAAUCAGUGACAAAGUUAAAAUUAAACGGUACUAAAGUAAAUAUUCGAUAAAUCUAAGUGGGUAUCUGAAGUUUUUUGUAUAUAAUUUAACGAAAUAUUAGGAAAAAAGCUGUCGAAAAGAUAAAAAUAAAACCACAGGGAAGCAUAUUGAUACAUUUUAAACUACAUGAUACUAAAGUGAGAAAGUGCGAAACCACAGCGGGUGUUUUUAAGUUUUCCUUUUUUUAUUUUAUAUGAUUUAAU